CACGUAGGGGGCAAGCGUUGUUCGGAAUUACUGGGCGUAAAGGGCUCGUAGGCGGCCAACUAAGUCGGAUGUGAAAUCCCCAGGCUUAACUUGGGAACUGCAUCCGAUACUGGAUGGCUUGAAUCCGGGAGAGGGAUGCGGAAUUCCAGGUGUAGCGGUGAAAUGCGUAGAUAUCUGGAGGAACACCGGUGGCGAAGGCGGCAUCCUGGACCGGCAUUGACGCUGAUGAGCGAAAGCCAGGGGAGCAAACGGG
rnacentral:rRNA from 1 species